rnacentral:rRNA from 1 species
UACGGAGGGUGCGAGCGUUGUCCGGAAUCACUGGGCGUAAAGGGCGCGUAGGCGGCCUGAUAAGUAGGGGGUGAAAUCCUGCGGCUUAACCGCAGGGCUGCCUUCUAAACUGUCAGGCUAGAGCACAGUAGAGGCAGGUGGAAUUCCCGGUGUAGCGGUGGAAUGCGUAGAGAUCGGGAAGAACAUCAGUGGCGAAGGCAGCUCGCUGGGACGUUACUGACACUGAGGCGCGAAAGCGUGGGGAGCGAACAGG